CCGGCGCCGCCGCCGCCGCCAGGAAGGCCGAGUUGAGGCGCGUCUCGAGCUCGCCGUCGGCCGCCGCCGCCUCCAUGUGCGAGUAGAGGAUGUGCUGCAGCUGCGUGUACUCGAUCUCCGUCAUCUCCACCAGGCUCAGUCAGGAUUCAUGGACCUGGGAAUCAAGAUGUGGAAAUGGAUGCAGCUCCUCUCACUGUCACCUCUACUGGCCACUUGCAAAAUCGGUGCUUCCUGCUCCUGAAACUUUUUCUUCUAGAGGGUCCAGUCCCAAGGGCAAGAGUGCUUCCUCCAGAGGACGCGGGAUGACUUCCAUAGGCUGUCAGCCGAGGCUGUUGCCUGGCCACUCUGGACUCCUCAUGCCACUGCACCCUGAGUGACCCGAAACAGAAGAGAGAGAAUGAAGAAACAAGUCGUGCCCACGGCACCAGCAGUCUGGACUCCAUUUGCUACACAUCUUGUUGUGGCUGUGAUUUGAAACCAACGUCCACACCGUCAAGAAGAAAGGAGACAGCCUCACGGGGCCAAAUGCAGGCUGGUGGGAAGGCGCCAACAGCCAGGCCCCAUGCCCCUCCCCUACCUAGAACCCCAGAUAGAAACCCCUGCCUUUUUCCCUUUGAGGAGGCAGAUCUGAGUUCUGACUCCCAUCUCCUCGUCUGGCUGCCUUUUGAUAAUAAACCUCUUUCCUUGUCUCAAGAUCGACAUUUCAGUGAUUGGCCCCACUGUGUGUCGGGUAAACAAACUUGCAUUUCUGUUUGGUAACAACAGAGGUGUCCGAAGAUUGGCCGUCUACGUAGUGGAGAAAGACAGAAACAAAGGGCAGAGGAGAAUCUGAGAUCUAGGCUGGAGGGUCUGUGGGUCAUCUGCCAUGUUUCUCUCCCCUCCCUCCACCUCUCCCCCUUCUCUUUGUUUUUUUUAAACAAAAAGAAAAUAUUCAUUUAUUACUUAGGUAAUUACAAAUAUGUGUAAUUGCUAACUGUGGCUUUUCUGAAAAUACAGAUGAGCCUGUCAUUGCAGAAUGAAAGAACUUGCUGUGUUCCAGAAGAAAGCGUGAUCGACGUGUUCACCUUCCAGAGCUGAACUUGUUUCCUUCUGUUCCUGAUUGGGAAAUGCCCCUGCAGCCACAGCCGAGAUGCCUGAAGUGCAGGGACUGGAGUCACAGCCGAGUGGCAGCCCCCGCUGGGUGCUGCGGCUCUCGCACCCUGAGAGGCGAGCCAGCUGCUGGGAGCCAGGCUGUGUCCUCAAGCUGGUCUCCUUACCAGGCAGGUCUGUAGAGAGCCGAGCACAGCACGGUGCUCCCUAUAUGGUGGAUAACAUUGACUAAAUGGGGUCACGGGUGGAGUUGUCAGCCUUGGUUCUGGAAGAAAGCCGGGGGUGACAGGGGCGAUAGGGGUGAUGGGGGUGGGGCAGGAUGAGGACAGAGCUGCCUGGUGCUGCAGGAGGGUUUCGUGAAGCAUGGAAAGAACAGACUUCAGGGUGAAUGCGAAUGAAACUAGACACUCGCAGAGCACAUGGAGGCCGGAGGGUUUUCAAUGGGGGCAUACUUCGCCUAUGUUUUGCAGAAACUGCUCUGACAGCAGUCUGCAGGCAAGAAGGGCUCACGCACUUUGGAGCCAGGUGCCAUGCCCAGUGCUCCUUAGCAUACGUCCUGCCAAACUUGGGGUUUACUGUCUGGUGGACCCUCAGCUACCAGGAGCUCUCUGUAGAGCGGCUUCCACAAGGUCAGGGCUAGCCCUUGGGGUUACCCACACACAAACAGGCGGCCCGCUUCUGUGGGCCUUUGUGGGUCAUGUGCAUGCUCAGCUGGCGCGUUUCUGAGAUGACAGUAGUCUGCAUAGGGCGGCCCCACCCUGGGGUCCCCUUGUGGAUCCCUGCUUUGUUGCACUUGGGUUCAGGAGCUCUUCCCUGGUUUGCUGUACACUCGGCCGGAAACCAGUCAGUUCGUGUUGAACUGACCCAACAAGAGUCAAGCCUGUCCUGCCCGAGGAGCGUUUUCUCUGUGUUUCUGCUCAUAGUGGAGUCGUGAAAGCACGUGCUUGUUGAGAAGCUAAAUUCCAGCACGAGGUUCCCCAGGUUGAGGUCAGUCACACAUAGCCACUGACAAGCUGGAGUUCAGGGGCAAGGCUCACCCUGUCUUCUCAAGUGGCCAGGCAUAGGUCCGGGAGAAGCUGCUCCCCUCAACCCAAAAGCUCUGUGUCUGCCCGCUGGCUUGGCCACCGCCAACCCCCACCCUCGGCACCCAUGCCACCAACCCCACCUUACCACAUGCUCCCUAACCAGCCUGCUGGGCAGCCAGAUGCUCCUUUAAACGAGUCAGCAGCUGGAACUU